rnacentral:rRNA from 1 species
UACGUAGGCAGCGAGCGUUGUUCGGAGUUACUGGGCGUAAAGGGUGUGUAGGCGGUUGUUUAAGUUUGGUGUGAAAUCUCCCGGCUCAACUGGGAGGGUGCGCCGAAUACUGAAUGACUUGGAGUGCGGGAGAGGAGAGUGGAAUUCCUGGUGUAGCGGUGAAAUGCGUAGAGAUCGGAAAGAACACCAACGGCGGAAAGCACUCUGCUGGGCCGACACUGACACUGAGAGACGAAAGCUAGGGGAGCGAAUGAG